GGCAGCUGCUCAGAAGACAAGUCCGAGAUGGCGGAGAGGGACAGGGGGGCUCCCGCUGGCUUCCCGUCCGCUGUGUUUUGAUCAAAGCCCUGGUUCUCGGUCCCUUCUGUGUGCAGCCAGAUGAAAGGCAUUGUUGGGCACCUGUUUGCAAAGAAGUGGUGUUUCCUCACAGGACGGCUCACCCACGCCUGGGACCGACCGCUCAGUAGGGACGAGACUGACAAGUCCACCCACAAGUUCAGGGACCCAUCCUGGCUCAUGACUGUCAAAAACAGUGAAGUCCAGCUCAGAGCAGGGAGAAGAUUGGAUUCCUUUUCUUGGUCAUUUGCCGACGUGGGAAUACCAAGAGCUGUUUUUGGCACCUAAAGCAGAAUCUCAAGGGCCGUACUACUUAACUGUUCGUACAGGAAGGACUGUUUCUUGCGGUUGCCCCCAAGGUCACGCUCUGGUGAGAAGCCAUGGAUCCACGCCUCCCUGGGCUUUGAUUGGGCUUAGGCUAUUGGAGGCACCAAGUAUUUUCACGGACAGAUAAACUCGCCUUUGCUUGGCUGUGGACCUGUAUAUAAUGGCUGGGUGCCUUGCCAGACUCUUUUCCAUUUUUGAUUCUUGUGCUCGUAAACAAGGCCUGCAUGAAAGUCGGCCAACUUCUGAUAAGCUGAUCACUUCGAAAUGAGAAUCACCUAAAAAUUAGGACAUCAAAACAGCCUUGCAACCAAUGGAGGAAGUCACGUUGGAAAGAAGGUGCAGGGAUUCAGCAGGAGUCCUAAGACAUUGUCAGGGAUCUCUUUGAUAGGGCAACUUAAAUGGAAAUUAUCAAAUGGCUCUUUAAAACAUGCACCCUUUUGUUUGAUUAGCCUACUGUAGAUAACCUUUAUUAAACCUGAUCUGAAAUUACAACCAUGGCCCAUGCUUCUUUGAUGCUGGGGCUGUUUCAUUUCCUGUUUAUACUAUGAUACACGUUGCACUAGGAGAUAAAGCACUUCUGAAGGAUAUUAAGAUAUAAAAGUCCCUUGGCUAUUUGCUGGCACUGUUUUGAUGUUUUCUUGCUCCCUAGAAAUUAGCAUAUCCUUUUCAAAGGCUGCCUCUGAUGAGAGUAAUCCUUUGCCAUGAUGUAUUUGCUAAAAGUCAUCAAUGAUAGUAUAUUGUGUAAAGAAAUGACACAUAAAAGGCAUGAUGUUAGAUUAUUGAUAAUGAGGCAACUUGUGUAACGGUUGCUUUUGGCUUUUCUAAAACAUAUUUUGACACCAUAAAUACACUGGGCUUAUAUUAAUGAAGAUUUAAUGCUACUGAGAUUUUAAAGAAACUUGCACAGAGCAACUUUGCAAAGGAAAGCGCUAGUAGGGGGC
rnacentral:lncRNA from 1 species